UACACUCGUGUGUACCAUACAAAAAUUGGAACAAUACAGAGAAAUUAGCAUAGCUCCUGCGCAAGGAUGACACGCAAAUUCGUAAUACGUUCCAAAAAUAA
rnacentral:snRNA from 1 species